rnacentral:rRNA from 1 species
CAGUCGCCGCGGAAUACGUAGGUGGCAAGCGUUGUCCGGAAUUAUUGGGCGUAAAGGGCUCGCAGGCGGUUUCUUAAGUCUGAUGUGAAAGCCCCCGGCUCAACCGGGGAGGGUCAUUGGAAACUGGGAAACUUGAGUGCAGAAGAGGAGAGUGGAAUUCCACGUGUAGCGGUGAAAUGCGUAGAGAUGUGGAGGAACACCAGUGGCGAAGGCGACUCUCUGGUCUGUAACUGACGCUGAGGAGCGAAAGCGUGGGGAGCGAACAGGAUUAGAUACCCCUGUAGUCCCUGUCUCUUAUACA